ACUCCAAAUCUCGUCUAGGGUUCCAGUGCACUGUUCCGGGAAGCUUCAGGCAGGACCUAACCUGCAAAACAACGCUACACGGGGGGUGACAUCCCGUGAGGCGCCUCCGGCGUGAUAAUCAGUGAUUUGGAUGUGCUUGACAAGUAAGGGAAAUCAGAGAGUUUUCACUCUAAAUGUAGGGUGCGAGAUGCUUUUUUGAGAGAGUUUUGGGAGAAAUUUGCACUUACCUUCCACUUUGGCUGGGGAGUGCUUUAUAUAGGCCCUUGGCCGCCACUGUUGCUACAGUGGCGGGAAUGGGUCUAUAGCCACUCCCCAGCAUGGGUGGCUGUUUUGGUGCAACUACUGUCCUUUUUCCUGUCCUUUUGGGAUUUGCGCGUGCUUAUUAUCCUGUUUGCCUUGUACUUGGUAAUGAUGAGGUCUGACUUUGGGGAUCUCCAAGUCCUGUAGCGGGGGCGGGUACUGUUGGCGGUCACUGUAGCGUGGUACCUUAUCAUUGCCCCCCUACUCCUUCCAUCUGCUUUAGCGGGUGGGGGGAGUAAGUAAAAUCCUUCCCGCAAAGGUGCACUUCCGGGUUGUAUGCGGGCUAGCGUGUUUGUUGUUAGUGGCUGGGCUGAGGUGGCGGGUUAUUGGCGUGAUUUACCCGGGUUGUGUUUGCUGGGCCAUGGAUUUCAAAAUUUUCAAAAGGUGUGAAGCCUUUUGCCGCCUGGUCUUGUCGUUCCGUAUGGGGAAUGUACGGUUUUUCCACGUGGCGUGCUGUGAGUGGUUGAUGUCGUAUCUGCAUGCCAGGUUAAUUUGACUGAUGGUAUGUUGUGCGGAUAUUUGUGCCAAUUAAUUACUGGCACAGAUACAUGUAUGAGGCUUUUGACGGGGGUGAUGGAUGUGUAUUUUUUGGCGCUUCAACUGCCUAGGGAAGUAACGGCUGAAGUUCAAAGGGCUGGAGUGCUGUCUAUAUAAAGGGAGUUUUAUCUUGGCGAAAAGUGCUCAGUUCAUCGCGUAUCUUUGUAAAAGCUUGUCUCUGCAAUAUUGGUGAUAUGUCUUCCGACAGCUCUGCAGCUAGUUCUAACCUGUACUAUGGCCGGUCGAGCGAGUGGCGCCGGCGUCAGGACCUGAUCAACCGGAUUCGCCGGUUGCCGGCCGAGCUUAUCACGGUGAGAAUCGCAGAGGCUUUGGAGGACGAGGAGCAGUCCUAUGAGUCUGCUCUGGAGAUUGUUUACCAUGAGCUUCUGCUACCGGGUCGCGCCCGGGACGCGGAGGAGGUGGACGGGCGGUUGAUGGUGCCGAUUGACAACCCGCCGGUUCCUCCUGGUGUCACGGUGCGGGAGCGUUUGCGGGACGCUGAGGUGGAGAGGGACGGCCUGCUUACCAGGCUGGAGGCUGUAGAUGAGCGGAUUGCGGAGUUGAGGGCUCAACUUCCUUAGGCAGUUUCGACGCGGGAUUAGCCCGCGUCCGAUUGUAUAUUUAUUCCUGUCUUAAUGCAAAACUGUUGAUUAGAUUCGCA